ACUAAACUUCUGGUGUCGUUUUUAUACAUCGUGACGGAGUUUAUUAUAGUUGCUAUUAGCACUUUUGCACCGUCACUGGCACUUGCAGCCGGUAAUUUUUAUUGUUAUUUUUUCAAUGUUCCGCAAAAUUUAUUGAUUUAUUGUAAUAGUUACUGGCUUUCCUAUUUCGUACAUAAUUAUCUGUGUAUUUGGCACUUGUAUUUUCUACACUACUAUUGGAGGCCUGAAAACCGUAGUUUGGACUGAUAUUUUCCAAAUUGUGCUUGUUCUAUUAUCUUUACUUAUAAUUUGUGUAAUCGGUUUAAAUACCACUGGAAAUUUUUCAUCGCUGUGGAAAACAGCACUCGAUGGUGGAAGACUCGAUAUUUUGAAUUUUAAUUUAGAUCCAACGGAUCGUGACAGUUUUUGGUCGUAUGUGAUUGGUUUUACGUUACAUUGGACAAAUUACGUGAGUCUUUCACAAUCCGGAGUUCAAAAAUUUCUAGCGCUACCAACAUUUCGUGAAUGGAUUUGGGCAGUGGUAUUUUAUGUGAUAACAAUGGAAAUUGUGAAAAUAUUUUGCUUUUUGCUGGGCCUUUUAAUCUAUGCACAUUACGCAAAUUGUGAUCCUUUUAUAAGUGGAAAAAUACAAAGACACGAGCAGUUAUAUCCAUACUACGCUAUGGAAAUCGCUGGACAAAUUCCCGGAGUCAUUGGAUUUACUUUAGUCGGAUUGUUCUGUGCUACUAUGAGUACAAUAUCAUCAACUUUAAAUGCCAUCUCUGGUGUCGUUUACAAAGAUUUCCUUUCGCGAUUUUUAAAAAGCAAUAUUACCGAAAAAACGUCUGGUAGAAUUUUGAGAGUGACGGUUGUUAUUUCUGGUAUUUUAAGUAUGCUUCUAAUACUUAUUUUGCAACACUUGGAGGAUAUUCUCCCUCUCGUAGCCAGUGCAGUAUCCAUAGGAACUGGACCAGCAUUUGGUAUAUUUUGUUUAGGUUUUCUUUUCCCGAAAGCUAACGCCAAGGGUGCAUUUUACGGAGGUCUUGUGUCGUUUAUAUUUCAACUUUUCGUAUUCGUUGUCUCCAAAAUGUAUCGAUACAAAAAAAUAAUUGUUGAUGUUCAUAAACCGUUUUCUGUGAGUGGAUGUGAAUGGACUAAUGCUUCUUUGGUGAAUAACAGUUAUAUGAAGCCAAACAAUGUUACUUUAAAUUCAGAGUUUAAACCUUUUUUUAUAUUCAGGUUGUCACAUUUUUACAACUGUGCUGCAGGAAUCAUCGUUACUCUAAUCGUGGGUCUAAUUAUCAGUUAUUUAACAAACAAGAACGAUCCCCCAGUUGAUAAAGAAUUGUUAAGUCCUGUAAUUCAUCGUUUUUUAACGAAAGAAUCUCAAUUCAAAAUCGACAGUCGAGAAUUGAAAGCUCUGAUGUCGAAAGAAUCGAGUACUCAAGAAAAAUAAAUGAUUUUUUUACGAUCCGGUCUAUGAACUUCUUUUCCUACCCAUUUACCAAAUGCAUUUUUAUUUUAACGUACUUCCUAAUAUUUAUUAUUUCGUGGUAAAAGAUUUCUUAGCCGAAAACUUCAAAGUAAAUUUAACUAAACGAGCCAAAAAAUAAUAAAUAAUAAUAAAUUCAAACAAAAGUUUGACGUUACGUCCUGAUAGCUGGAAAAUAAUACUAAAACCAUUUAUUGCACCAUUUAUU